UGCGUUACUGGAUUUGAAGGCCCAAAGCCGCGCAGCCCAGAUAGAGUGAAGUUCACAAUGAUAUGCUUUCCUCUGAAGCUACCAUCAACAGACAAAACUGAACUCUAUGAUAACAAGUCCACACAGAAUGAAUGUACAAGACAGGCACUUUGAACCAGAUACUGGGAAUCGUUCACAGUUAAUAUUGCUUUUUCUGAAGCUCAUCUCGUCCAAGCCGUGUGGACCCGGAUCAGCGACAGAACCCAGAUGCAGCAGUGUGCCUGGGAGAACCAGCAACAGACUAUCGGGGACAGACAAAUCUCUGGGCUCAACAGCUGACCAGCCAGCCUCGCCUACCUGGUGAGUUUCCCGGCAAGAAAGACCUUUUCUCAAACACAAAGCCGUCAUCUCCUGAAGACGCCAAUACUGUUCCUGUUAUGUUCCAACUCACCCUCCAGACCUGAGAAUUAUGAUUAUCAAACUGAGCCACAAUAUGGAUUUCAAAUUUUGUUGGACCACCAGAAGAAAUAUCUGCAGAUUUUCUUACGGAGUGAUUAAAAAGAUAAACAGAAAGCAAAUAUGGGUGCUGGAAAGAUGUCUCAGCUGUUACGAUCACGUGUGCUGCUCCUCCAGGGGACCCAGGUUUCAUUCCAAGCACCCACACGGUGACUCACAACAAUCUGUAACUCCAGUCACAAGGAUCCAACACCCACUUCACA
rnacentral:lncRNA from 1 species